rnacentral:rRNA from 1 species
AGUGAACGCUGGCGGUAGGCCUAACACAUGCAAGUCGAACGGCAGCACAGUAAGAGCUUGCUCUUACGGGUGGCGAGUGGCGGACGGGUGAGGAAUACAUCGGAAUCUACUUUUUCGUGGGGGAUAACGUAGGGAAACUUACGCUAAUACCGCAUACGACCUACGGGUGAAAGCAGGGGAUCUUCGGACCUUGCGCGAUUGAAUGAGCCGAUGUCGGAUUAGCUAGUUGGCGGGGUAAAGGCCCACCAAGGCGACGAUCCGUAGCUGGUCCGAGAGGAUGAUCAGCCACACUGGAACUGAGACACGGUCCAGACUCCUACGGGAGGCAGCAGUGGGGAAUAUUGGACAAUGGGCGCAAGCCUGAUCCAGCCAUACCGCGUGGGUGAAGAAGGCCUUCGGGUUGUAAAGCCCUUUUGUUGGGAAAGAAAAGCAGCAGGUUAAUACGCCGCUGUUCUGACGGUACCCAAAGAAUAAGCACCGGCUAACUUCGUG